UAAAUUAUGUCACGUUGGACAGGGUGAAAUGGCUUAGUUUGGAAAAAUUGUAAUUAAAAUGAAAGUUCGAUGCAAUUUCUUGCAGAUUUAUCGCUGAUGUUUUAUAAAUUAUAAUGAAAUGAUGCAGAAACAAUGGAUUUUAAUCAACCGGUGAUUGAAAUUAAUUAUUUUUCAAAUGAGCGUUUCUUAUUCCGUCUUGUUUAUAAAAAGUGGAUUUUCAAGUCAAUGCACCACAUAAAUUGGUUCUUCUUCAGUGAUUUGGAACCACGUUUAAAGAUUUACUAGAAGCAAUGUCAGAAAUUCUCUUAAUAUUUUAAUUCAGCAUUUGACAUUUUAAUACCAGUUUGAUCUCUUCCUGUACUCCAUUUCUCUACCCCCACAUCUAAAUGUUUCGUGACUGGCGAUCUUGUUGAGGUCACCCCACUUAAAAAAAAAACUGACUGACCUAAAAUAAGAAUUUCUACUUUUGUUGUUUAUCAUUUCCGGCAUUCGAUGCCAGAAACUUUUCCGUUAAUUCCGAAUUCUGCCCCCGUACUGAAAGGGACGUUAUUUCAUGCUAAUAAUAAUUACACGCAACGCAUUAACACACAUCACGUAAAUAAAAACAACACCAAACCAUUUAAAUUUCCGCCAAAUCCUGCAAUUCAUAUUCUGUAAAAACUGCAAAAUAUUGAAAGCCGGCCACACUCUACGUCUACAAAUUAAUCAAAUGAAAAGCAUUUACUCACGUUGAAUUAUAUGUUGUUCCUGGCGGUAAAUCAAAGAAAACACUUCAAGAUUUGAUAAGAAUCGUAGUUUUAGCAAUGAGUUUAAUGAAUUUUAUUGAAAACUGCAGAAAUUGUGAUGAUCACUUUCCACGU